rnacentral:rRNA from 1 species
UACAGAGGGUGCGAGCGUUAAUCGGAAUUACUGGGCGUAAAGCGUGCGUAGACGGUUUCGUAAGUCGGGUGUGAAAUCCCCGGGCUCAACCUGGGAAUUGCAUUCGAAACUGCGAGGCUAGGGUACGGAAGAGGGAAGCGGAAUUUCUGGUGUAGCGGUGAAAUGCGUAGAUAUCAGAAGGAACAUCAGUGGCGAAAGCGGCUUCCUGGUCCAGUACCGACGUCAGGCACGAAAGCGUGGGGAGCAAACAGG